UACGUAGGGGGCAAGCGUUGUCCGGAUUUAUUGGGCGUAAAGAGCGUGUAGGCGGCCAGACAGGUCUGCUGUGAAAACUCGAGGCUCAACCUCGAGACGCCGGUGGAAACCGUCUGGCUAGAGUCCGGAAGAGGAGAGUGGAAUUCCUGGUGUAGCGGUGAAAUGCGUAGAUAUCGGGAGGAACACCAGUGGCGAAGGCGCCUUCCUGGCCUGUAACUGACGCUGAUACGCGAAAGCGUGGGGAGCAAACAGG
rnacentral:rRNA from 1 species